rnacentral:rRNA from 1 species
CUACGGGGUGCAGCAGUAGGGAAUCUUAGACAAUGGGGGAAACCCUGAUCUAGCCAUGCCGCGUGAGUGAUGAAGGCCUUAGGGUUGUAAAGCUCUUUCGCUGGGGAAGAUAAUGACGGUACCCAGUAAAGAAACCCCGGCUAACUCCGUGCCAGCAGCCGCGGUAAUACGGAGGGGGUUAGCGUUGCUCGGAAUUACUGGGCGUAAAGCGCGCGUAGGCGGGCUAUUAAGUCAGGGGUGAAAUCCCGGGGCUCAACCCCGGAACUGCCUUUGAUACUGGUAGUCUUGAGUUCGAGAGAGGUGAGUGGAAUUCCGAGUGUAGAGGUGAAAUUCGUAGAUAUUCGGAGGAACAUCAGUGGCGAAGGCGACUCACUGGCUCGAUACUGACGCUGAGGUGCGAAAGUGUGGGGAGCAAACAGGAUUAGAUACCCUUGUAGUC